rnacentral:tRNA from 1 species
GUUUUAAUAAUUUAAAUAAAAUAUUGGUCUUGUAAAUCAAAAAUAAGAACUCCUUUUAAAACA